rnacentral:rRNA from 1 species
GAGUUUGAUCUUGGCUCAGAUUGAACGCUGGCGGCAGGCCUAACACAUGCAAGUCGAGCGGAUGAAGGGAGCUUGCUCCUGGAUUCAGCGGCGGACGGGUGAGUAAUGCCUAGGAAUCUGCCUGGUAGUGGGGGAUAACGUCCGGAAACGGGCGCUAAUACCGCAUACGUCCUGAGGGAGAAAGUGGGGGGUCUUCGGACCUCACGCUAUCAGAUGAGCCUAGGUCGGAUUAGCUAGUUGGUGGGGUAAAGGCCUACCAAGGCGACGAUCCGUAACUGGUCUGAGAGGAUGAUCAGUCACACUGGAACUGAGACACGGUCCAGACUCCUACGGGAGGCAGCAGUGGGGAAUAUUGGACAAUGGGCGAAAGCCUGAUCCAGCCAUGCCGCGUGUGUGAAGAAGGUCUUCGGAUUGUAAAGCACUUUAAGUUGGGAGGAAGGGCAGUAAGUUAAUACCUUGCUGUUUGACGUUACCAACAGAAUAAGCACCGGCUAACUCCGUGCCAGCAGCCGCAGU